CUCACUCUUCACUGUCUGCAGCCCUGCCUGCACUAAGGACUUCUGCACAGGCUGCGUCAAUUUGAGCAAAGCUAAGUCCCCAUCCUUUGGUUUAAUUUCCGUGAUGGUCUCUCCUCCCUCAGCGGUAGCCCCCUUCUUCAGCACACGAAGCCCACUGAAAAAAGCUGGAAGUUGGAAUGACUUCUCUCCAGAGACUUCUUUUUUAGAAGAGGCACUCUCAGUGAUACCAACACUCGAAUUCUGGUUUGUUACUGCAGGUAGGUCUUGGGACCCUUCUUCUCCCACCUGGUCCUGGCUGGGGCGACGCUCUGUCUGAAGACCACCGUUGCCAGCUUCCAGUUUGCUGCUCAUCUCAGGUGGAAUCCUUUGAGGAUCUUCUGCACAGAGCUCUGCACCAUUCAUUUCCCCAGUGACAGUAUUUUCCCUGAAACCUCCUGGGUUUUCUUUGGACUCCUGAGAUGGCUCAGAUAAAACACCACUAGGGGACUUUGGGCCAUUGGUGCUGCUUCCCUCCUCUGGCUCCUGGCCACCAUCAUCAGAGUCAGAAUCACUGGUGGUGUGCACCAGGGUCCCACGAACACAAAUGACAUCGUCUUUUGUCCCUUUCAAAGUAGACAGUGGAAGCAGCUCUUGAGCAAGGAGAGAUGUCCCUGCUUCUUUUCUCUGACUUCCCUCUGAUUCUGUCUCCACGCUUGCAAUUUUCUCAUCAUUUCCGAGGUCAGGUGAAACCCGAGACCCUGCUUCCUGUGGAUCCAAGCCAUUGCUGGAAUCAUCCUGCUGAGAUGUGGGAUUCACGUCUAAACUAUGGAAUGCUUUCAGCACAGCAUCUUCCUCUUCUGGAUUCACAGAUUCUAAUUUACUCGUAAACCCAAAUAGGGAUUUCAUAGAGAACUUACUCAGGAUCGACUGAGCCACUUCAAGUCCGGCUUCUGGUUUUGCUGGUUCUGACACAUCACUGCCAUCCAGAGAAUUAUCAACGUUCUCCAUGUCUCAGUAAUGCCCUUGGUGGAAGUUCUGACUUGUGUUACCUUCUCCUGCGCUCUCAGUUUAUCCACUCCAUCUGCUCUUAAUUUACAGGACAGAGAGCAACAGGACCCGGGAGUCAGGCUGUCAGCCGCACAGCAAACACACUUGGUCUCUUUCGGGUCACAGUGCCCUCCUUCCGGUUUGUGCGAUGAUGUGUUCCAGGGCAACUGUGAAAAAUCUGUGGAGUCUAUGCCCAGAAGCAGCCGAGGCUGCGCACCUUACUACACACGGACCAGGGAGGCUGCUCUUCUGAAACUUCCGUAUUUAUUCCCGGGGACAAAAGCCUUUUUGUCAUAGGGAAAGUCAGCCUGCCCUGUAAUCCCAACCCAGGACUUCACGAGGAGCUCCGCCCCAGGCCGGCGGUUCUCCUGGUGGCAUUCAACUUCCUCAUUGGUGAGCAAGUGAAGGCUUCUGAAAGUGCUGAGCCGGCAAGCUGAUACUGAGGGCACUUAGCCACUGCCCAGAGCAGCCUAAGGGAAUCAGAAGUAAAUCAGCAGAAAACAACUGAAAUACUUCUGACACAGGCCUUCUUUUUCAUCUGGAUUAUGAUCAGAGAGGCCUGGGGCAUCCAGGCCAAAAAACUAGCAGUACACCCAGAUCAGCAGCCACUUACGAAGCCGCAAUCAAGGAAACAAAUUAAAGAAAGCAAUAGAUCAUCUCAAAAGUGCCUAGAACUCUCAAAGCAGUUAAUUUACUGCCCUUGAAGCUUUUUUUAAGUGCUUUCUUCCGCUUCCCUGCAGGUUUCAUCUGGAAUGCAGAUUUUAGCUCCUAAAGCCCGUGAGGGAUAACCCACACGACUGGUUUCAGAUGACUGCUGUUUUAGCUCUGCCCUAGCUGUCUCAGUGCUCUACAAACAGGUAUUAGGCAAGCACACCCACCACACCCAGUGUCCACCAGCAACAGGGUGGCAGAGUAAACAGCCCAGGCUCCGCAGGAAUGAUUACCCUCUACACUCCCUGUGCCAACCGCAGGCUUCUUUCUGCUCAGCAGCUGUGACUUCCUGGCUGCCUUAGAAAUCCUGGCAGCAGCAGGACACGCCUCUCCCCCUUUGGUGUCCCAGCCAACUAAAUGAAACCUGGCAUGACACAGUGUAACACACAACCUGCCCUAUUAGACAAAACAAUUUGAAGAUCCCCAAGGAUCCACGUUCUCCUAAAGGGCAAAACAUCUGAAAAGUCUCUAUCAGUCAGAUCUCUAUCACAGACCCAAUUUGCCUCAACAAAAACAGGACAGACAAAACAACCUCCAAACAUCAGCCCAGUGUAGUUUCUACCACUCUAUUUAUAUGCUGGGAAACUGGCAACAAAGGAUGGGGGUAAAAAUUGCAGCCCUGUUUCCUAGCUGCAUAGCUGCCUCUUGGGACAGCUCCCUAUCUACCUGAAGGCCUCAAGUGUUUUCCAAAUCCAGUCCCACUAAGCAGGCAUGCAGUGAGUGCCUGGGAUGGACAGGACACUGUUCUGGUUGGAGAGGCAAGUCAAACUGGCUGAACAGUAAUUGCCAUCUCUGUUUGAGCAAAGGUCCAAGAAGAUUGUGGUCAAGUGUUAAACACAAACAGUAAUUCCUUCUGCAAAAUGGAAAUGGUAGCCAUAAGGAAAAUGACAGUCUUGCUUUAUCUGCAGGAGUGGGUGGCUGCAUGUCACACAUUGAUAACUUGAGCCAUGUUCUUCAGUACUAAAAACAAUCUAAGCAUCAAUACUGAGAAAUUCUGAUUGCAAAAAUACAUUUCUAGCAAUGUAUUCAAAAGGAACGCUCACACAAAUAAAAACGCAUCAUUGCAUCCCAUCAACCACUAAGGAGAACCGAGGCACAGAAGAUUAAAAGUCUUGCCAGUCCACAGAAACAGUGGAUGGUGGAAGUAUAAUGUGAAUCCAUGCAGGCAGGCUCCAGCAUCCACACUCUCAACCACUCUUCGAAAGCCCAGAGGCUCCACUUCCUUCCCGAAUAGAAGACCACACACAGCGAGGUGCAAAGGUUUCAGCCCAGUUCAUUGGUGGUCUUUAACUGGGAUGUGAAGUAUACUUUAUCCUCUUAAAUGACACAGAAGACAAACAUCACCAAAAACAAACAAACAAACAAAAAACAACAACCUUAUACUGAGGAUGACUGUUCUUUUCUUUUGCAUAACUUGGGGAAAAAUCUACAAGUUUUCUUAGGAAAAAAUGGAGAGAGAGGAAAGAAAAAUCAAGCAAAAAUUCCAGUAAACCUAGCUGGCCUAUCUAUCUAACACAGAAGAGACACGGAAUCCUCUGGGCUCAAACACAUCAAGGUUUUCCAGUUUGCCCCUACCAUUCUCCUUCAUUUAUGAAGCAUGACUUCUAUUAAGAAGACUUCUUCAUCCAAUGUCAUAAAUGAGCACCAACAAUGAAUGAGGCUGUGAGGACAUAAGAAUGAAGAUAGCCCUGCCUUCCACCUCCAUGAAAUGUGUAGUUUAGUUGGAGAUCUCUAUUUAGAAAGAGGAGACUCUUGUUUACAGACUGUAACCAAGGACUUUAUCCCCCAGGUUCAGUCUAAUAGUAAUAGCUAGACCUGAAACAAUUUUGAAUGAAAGCCAGCAGUGACCAUUUAAAUAUGAACACGAGUAACAGGAGCACGAGUAAGAUUCAAAGAGAUCUUUUAACACGGACUCUUUCAAGCCACUGGUUCUCAUGACCAUAAAAAAUGUUACCACUGCUGGUCACUCAGGGAAUGAGAGUGUUUCAGAUUGUAAUAUUCAAAUAAGCAACCUACAAAUUCAAUCUAAAUUGGUCUUGAAAAAUGAAUCUCUUUAAAGCUUUAACAUUUUCAGGGAGGAUAGUAAUCACUUCUCUUGGACAUUAUCUCAGUAUCUAUGUGCUGAAAUAAGCACCUAUUACACAAAACCAGCAGAAGCGAAGGCUUUCAUCCUUUACAACCUACCUCAACUGAUUCUCUUUUGUCUUGUCUUAACCUCAAGACAAACUCUCUAACUGCCACAUCUGUGCAAAAAUGAUCUUCACCAAAACAAACAAACAAACAAAAAAACAACCUUAUACUGAGGAUGACCAUUCUUUUCUUUUGAGUAACUUGGGGAAAAAUCUACAAAAAAUAAUCUGUGCCAGAUUAAAAAUGAUCCACCUCAGACAACCCACGUUUGAACUGUAUGGGUUCACCUAUACAAUAUGUUUUCAACCAAAAGAAGAUGGAAAAUGCAGUCUUCAUGAGAUGUGAAACCUGCACAUAUGAAGGGUUGACUUUUCAACUUUUCCUGUAAGUGGAUUCCCAGAGCCUCCUGUGGGACUUGGGUAUGAGAGGAUUUGGGUAUAUGGGUGAUCAAUCUUCCAAGUAGAUGGAGGGACAACUCUAAGUCAAAGGAUACAUGAGAAAUAGGUAGCAUUUGACCUACGUGAUAUUCUGUUAUAACUCUGUUAAAAACAAUCAGUACCUAGCUACUUAAAAAUGUGAGCAUAGUAUUUGUGGAGAAUUUACUAGCAGUGAAUUCUUCAUUUCUCCCAUCUCACUGUCCUCUCAGCUGUACACAGAUUGAAGGUGGAGCCAAUUGUACCCCAUGGCAAAAAGAACAUCAGUCUAGGCUGGGCACAGUAGCUCACGCCUGUAAUCCCAGCACUUUGGGAAGCCAAGGCAGGUGGAUUACCUGAGGUCAGGAGUUCAAGACUAGCCUGGCCAACAUGGCGAAAUCCUGUCUCUACUAAAAAUAUAAAAAUUAGCCAGGCAUGGUGGUGGGCACCUGUAAUCCCAUCUACUUGGGAGGCUGAGGGAGGAGAAUCACUUGAACCCAUGAGGUGGAGGCUGCAGUGAGCCGAGAUGCACCCCCUGCACUCCAGCCUGGGCAACAGAACAAGACUCCAUCUCAAAAAAAAAAAAAAACAAAAACAGAACAUCAGUCUAGUAAGUGUAUACCUAGUGAGAUAAGAACAAUUGCAAUAAAAGGCACAUUAUCUCCUAUAGGCAGUAGAGCCUAGCUCCUUGACUUUCCUAAUAUUAGGAGAUCAGCAAUAAAAAUUUUUAAAUAUCGUUUUGCGAAAACUGGACACUGAAAGAAACUUCUCUAAGGGCCCCCUUACUCUUUGUAGCACUUCUCGCUAUUACUCAGUUUGGAUAAUUCACCCCCACAUUCUCAUCAGACUUCAGAAAGGCAACGUGAAAGUAAAGCAAACAGGAUCGCAUCUCACUGUUAGGCUACUUGUCAUGAUUCUCCUUGUCCAACUUAUUUCAAGUUCUGGGCCUGAUUUUAAUGACAAAUUGCUUCUAGCUUCCCAAAGUAGUUCAAAUAGCUUCAUGCGAAAACCGUUUGAAACAAAAAGUAGAAAGUGUAGUUAAACUUAGUAAGGGUAAAUAAGAGUGAGGAAACUAUUUCUGCAGGUGAAAAAAAGUUAAGAGCAAUGUACUGGGAAAAAUAAGUAAGUUCUGAAUAAAGAUAUGGGUAGGUUAAUGGGUGAAAUCCUGGUUUCUUGGUUCAGGAAGCGUGUUUUAAUUCAACAAACGGCAUCUUGAACAAGAGGGGAGAGCUGAGGAAAUUAUAACAUCAUAAGGAGUCAAAAAAAUGUCUGUAAAAUGAGGGGUCAUAUAAAAGGAGUACAAGAUUAUGGAAUAAUUUGGGUAGAAUCCAGUUGUUGUAAGGUUGAAUGGGACCUUAGAAAUAGUAGAAAUUUACCUAGCUUGUUUUUUUUUUUUUUUUGAGACAGGGUCUCACUGCGUUACCCAGGCUGAAGUACAGUGGCACAAUCACUGCUCAGGCAGCCUUCACCUCCCCUUGCUCAAAUGAUUCUCCCACCUCAGCCUCCUGAGCACCUGGGAUUAUAGUUGCGUGUCACCACGACCGACUAAUUUUUGUAUUUUUUCUAGAGACGGGGUUUCACCAUGUUACCCAGGCUGGUCUCAAACUCCUGGCUUCAAGUAAUCUGCCCACCUCGGCCCCCCAGUGUACUGGGGCUACAGGCAUGAGCCACUGCCUCCGGCCUGGCUUGACCUUUUGUUUUAAAGAUGAAGGCAUUUGAGGUCAAGGGAAGCGGAACAACUGGCACCAGUUCAUACUGCUCAAGUGCAGCACCCAGAUGGGGAAAAAGGCAUCCCAUCUCCUGUUCACCCACAUCACAUCACCCUGCUGCUAUGCUGUGGGAUCUUACCUUCUUCCUGAUCAGCAUCUUCGUUAUACUCAUUUUCCACAUCUUUGAAAUGGAGACAACACCUUGCUUCUACCUAAUUCACAGGAAUAUAAAGCCAAACAAAAGAAAAAGCCAGAGAUACCCUUACACAUCUAGUUUUGUAGCACUUUCCCUGCCUUCAUGCUGUGGCGUUCCUCUGCCAAUGCAACGCUUACAACAGCCUCUCUGGGUCAUCCCAUCAAAAGCCUGCAGCUGUUUUCACUAAUUGGUUAAAAAGAAAACAGGCAGCACCUGCCUCUUGCAAGGACUGUGAUUAAGGGCUUUUUUCUCUGUUGAAAAGUCUUAAGAGUAAAAUAUUUAUAAGACUGGUUCCACUGGGCAGUAUCAAAGCUUCUGUAGAAAUGGAUUGAAUAUAGAUAACAAACUAGAAGAAUCUAAAAGGAAAGGAGAAAGGCUGGGACAUCUUGUGAAGCUUGAACAAAGGAAGACAGCAGUGGGUAUGUAAUCUUGUGAUGACCAAGGAACACGGGCAGUGUGCAUAGUUAAGAACAGGACCUCAGCCGGGUGCAGUGGCUCACGCCUGUAAUCCUAGCACUUUGGGAGGCUGAGGCAGGCGGAUCACUUGAGGCCAAGAGUUCAAGACCAGCCUGGUCAAGAUGGUGGAACUCCGUCUCUACUAAAAAUUCAAAAAAAUUAGCCAGGCGUGGUGGUGGUGUGCGCCUGUAGUCCCAGCUACUCGGGAGGCUGAGGCAGGAGAAUCGCUUGAACCUGGGAGGUGGAGGUUGCAGUGAGCCGAGAUGGCACUACUGCACUCCAGCCUGGGCAACUGAGCAAGAUUCCAUCUCAAAAAAAAAAAAAAAAAAAAAAAAAAAGAACAGACCUUGAGUCCUGGGCUCACACCAUGCUCCACUCCUACAAGAGACUUACCCUGGGGCAAGUUAUAUAUAAGCUCCCUGUGCUGCAGCUCCCUCACCUGGAAACUGGUAAGAACAGUACCUACACUUCAUGAAUUGUUACGCGGCAUACACUAUUAUGUGUUUGGCCCUCAUUAAUAACCUGCAGUAAGUAGGAUAUGUUUUCCCAGGAAAGGAACAGCUUCCUUAGGGACACCAACCAUCAUCUAACAGAUGUUUUUAGCAUUCUCAUUAUAAAACAAGUAUUUACUGAUGAACUAACAGCCCAAGCAGGAAGUUUUCUUCUCCCAACUCCCUCUGAUAUAUGCACUUGGGCAGAAGGACUACAUACAACACACCUCCGCAUGCCCCAGCCGCAACCAUGCCACAAGGAAACUGAGCUCCAAAGAAAAUUCUUCCAAGGGAUCCCUUUGGGUGUUGCAGGGCCAGUGUUUUCUGGAUUGGAUUCUUCCAUCUGUGUCACUUGAGAAGAGAAUAAAGUUUUCUCAAGUGGCCACUGCAUAAGGUGACAAAGUUUGCCCUGUUCUUUAUUUUGUUUCCCAAGCUCCAACAUGAUUUUUAAACCAACUCAGUUAUUUGAGAGAAAAAAAAAAUCCAUGAAUUUGGGGUUUCUUCCAUCCUUUUCUCAUGAGAAAAAGCAUGCUGAAAAUGAGACUAGGUGCCUUAGCACUGACAUUUUCCCUUCUUUGGGGAAGGACUCUUCUGAGACAAUGAGCAAGCCUGGGUCCUCCAUAGCAGAGCACCAGCCAUUUUAUUUAUUCAUUUAUUUUUGGUUUGGGGUCAAUUCAUUAGACUUCAAAAGUGCUGCUUCAUUACAAAUGAAAUAAAAGAUUACAGACAUGAAAAUCAACUUUGAAAUAGUUAUUACAUUACUGGCUAGAAUCCUACUCUCAAAUAUUUCUAAGACUGGGUUGUUCCACCAACCAGUGUCAAAGGUCCUCUAGAAAUGGAUUUAAUAUUGAUGACAAAGUAAAAUAAUGUAAAAGGGGAGAGAAAGGCUGUGACUUCUGAAGCUGGGGGGCAGGGGGAUGAGGGUUGGUGGGUAGCAGUCUUUAAAGUACAGAAUUUCCUGGGAUGUGUUUCAGAAGAGCUUUGAGCUUUCCCAAAGUGAAGGCAUAAUAUUGCUGUUCCAUAUGGCUAAUGACAGCAGAAGGCAUGGAGUCUAUGGUGAAAGCAUUUCAUUGUGACUAAGUUGCUCCUGAUAAAAGAUGAAGACCUGGAAUUUAUUAGACUACUUAUGCCUGUUGCCUAUAUUCCCUUCUUCUCAUGCAGUAAAGCGAGGCACUUCAUGGCUACUGCUAUAACUUUUUCUUUUCCUUAAUUUUUUUAAAGUAAAAGUUAUCUUGAGAAUAUUAGUUCGAACUCCAAAGAUCCAGGUAUCAUUUCAAAAUAUUUUUAAAGGGGACAAAAGAAAAUCUAGGGAAGGUGGGGAUUUACCCAAAAGAAAAUGAAGAUGGAUGGGAGGAGCAUGCAUGCUGUUCCAAGUAGGCACCAUGCUCGGUUCUUUAUGCAAGUUUUCUUGCAGCCUCACCCUCUCCAUAACUCUAUGAGAAAGAUGUCAUUAAUUGCAUUUGACAGAUUAUUACUGUCCAAUGAAACUUUCUGCAAUAAAGCCAGCAUUUGCACUGGA